UACGAGGGGGGCGAGCGUUGUUCGGAAUUAUUGGGCGUAAAGGGUGCGUAGGCGGCCUGACAAGUCUGAUGUGAAAUCCCUGGGCUCAACCCAGGGCCUGCAUCGGAAACUGUCGGGCUUGAGUAUGGGAGAGGUGAGUGGAAUUUCCGGUGUAGCGGUGAAAUGCGUAGAUAUCGGAAGGAACACCUGUGGCGAAGGCGGCUCACUGGACCGGAACUGACGCUGAUGCGCGAAAGCGUGGGGAGCAAACGGG
rnacentral:rRNA from 1 species